ACUUUGGCCAUCUCUUCUCUCUUCUUUCUUCUUUCUUCUUUCUUCUUCUUCUCCGACUUGAGUUUUCGGCGAUGGGAGACGAGAAGCCGGCGAUUGUGAUGGCUAAUCGUGAAAGAGAUUGAGAGCUUUUGAUUCCCGUAGCUGAUUCCGGCCAUCUUCUUCUUCCUCUUCUUCUUCGCAUCAAUCCAGCCACGAGGUCUAGUUUUCUUUUCACCUGAUCUAGAAUCUUGUUAUUCGUUUUCUCAUUUCAAGAUUCAUGUGAAAUUAACAGUAGAAUUGGAUUGACUUGAAUUGAAUUGUGGUCUGAUGCUUUAGCUAUUUUCUGCAAACUUUUUCAUGGCGUCGAAGAAGUUCAUGACAGGCUGAUCAUUGGCAGCUCCAACUCGAUUUAUAAAUCAUCUGCCAUGACCUCACAAGCUUGUCUUCUUCUUCAGAAACUGCCCAAAGAUAUUUGUAAGCAUCUUGUUGAUGGAUACUCGCUGUUCUACUUGAUGAGAAGAAUAUAUUCAAAUGGAGUGUAACUAUUAUCGGACCUCCUGAUGAUACUCUCUGGAAUCAACCAAACACUAGAUGACAUAAUAUAAGCUUCAUCUCCAAGGAUAAUGGUAAAGCCCUUAAGUAAUCACAUCACUAAAGCUUUAAUUUGAGAGUACAUCACAUCACUGACCACACACACACACGUCCCUGUAUAUGAACAAAAGCAGCUUCAAGCAAGAUGUGCUCGUAUUAAGGCAAUGCCAAGAUGGUUGUUGUAUCAAGAAGAUAAUGUUGUCCAAGAACAGCAAAAACCGCAAGCCACCAAAGGAUGAAAAGAAGUUUGAAAUUGGAUUGAUGUUUUUUUUUCUCUUUCUAAAUUUUGAUUAUUUACAUUUGAAAUCGAAAAUAGUCAACUUUUGAUAUGUGCCAAUGAAGAAAAAAAAAUACAACAAA